UUUAUUAAAUUUUUGUUCGAUUUGGGUGCAAUAUCGUUCCCAGAGUAUGCCUGUUCGCGGGUUAUGUGGUGGCAUGACUACAUAACCCGCGAACAGGCAUACUCUGGGAACGAGAUUGAUUUGGGUGAAAAUUGGAUGAGAAAUUAACAAA